GCUGGGUGUGGUGGUGGACACCUGUAAUCCCAGCUACACGGGAGGCUGAGGUGGGAGAAUCGCUUGAACCUGGGAGGUGGAGGUUGCAGUGAGCUGAGAUUGUGCCACUGCACUCCAGCCUGGGUGACAAAGUGAGACUCCGUCUCAAAAAAAAAAAAAAGAUGUUCAUUUGUGCUUUAUUAUUUAUAAUAACAAAUAUAAUUUUUUUUUUUUUAAGAUGAAGUCUCCCUCUGUCCCCCAGGCUAGAGUGCAGUGGUGCGACGGCAGCUCACUGCAACCUCUGCCUCCCAGGUUCAAGCAAUUCUCCUGCCUCAG
rnacentral:SRP_RNA from 1 species